UUAAAUGACCUAGGGGCAUUUAGGUCAUUUGGAUUGGAUUUAUAUGACUUUAAGGCUGUGGAAAACAGAACCAAAAACAGAGCCCAUCCUUAUCUCCUCUUCUUCUUCUCCUGUACAUGUUUUCCCCUUCACUUUUCUUUGAAUUUUGAGAGCCCAAAUUGAGGAGUUAAGCUAGGAGAUCAAAGGUGGGAGCUUAGGAACUUGAUUCAGCCAUUAAAGGGGAUUCAAAAUCAAGUUUGAGGUUGAGGUUUGGAAUCGGUUUGAAGGGUUGGUUCCGAGGGAAAACGCAAGGGAAAGCAAGCUGGUGCUUGCUGGUUUUGGUAAUGGGCCGCGACACGGCUAUGGUGAGCCGCGGCCUACGUGCGUUUUUGUGAAGGAAAUGGUUCUGUCAGAGGGGUGAGCCGCGGCCCAUCAGGGCAUUUUUGGCCAGAAAUGUGUUUUUAGCUUGGGGAUGCUACCCAUAGGCCUUGGGGUUGAUCCUACUACCCGGUUAAGUGUGGAUUGAUGUCCCGGAGGCUAGAUAUUGGUUUGGGAACCUAUGUUAAUUAUUUUUAUUGAUGAUAUCUUAUAUUUGGUUAUGACUAGGUGAUCGCUAAAGGACUAAAAGUUGAUCGUUCUCAAGGGUCGUUCUUGUUAUCAUUCUAGCUCGAAUAUGAGGUAAAGGCAAGAGGAAGCUGAACCAUCCUUGAGUUGGAGAGCUUAGGUGAUGACGUGUACAUAUGCAGCUGCUCAUCCGCCACGGCCGAGGUUUAAAGAGGAACUAGGGUUGAACCCUGUUUUGCCGCUUAGAUCGGCGUGUUGUAAAUGGUUUUCUGUAAUAGACUUUGAAAUUAUAUUUUUGGGAUCCCAAUGUAUAUAUUAAACAUUCUAG